UGGUGGCAGAUAAGAUUUUUUAAAUAAAAUCACUAUACCAUCGUAGGUCUGUAAAUUUCGCGGCCGAAGGCCGCAGGAUUUUUUUAGGUGGGUAUGGGUAGAUUUUGGAGGGGUUUGCCUCCAUCAAAUUUUCUGCCAUGUAGACGCUGUUCUUCACCAUCGCUAAACCAUCUUCCUCACCAACAACAGUUAUUUACGGCAAACUACGAGCUAGGAAAUUACAACAUCAUCUUCAAAAACGAAACCACAUUGAGCAAAGAAAAGAGAACUUCUUCACCAUCUCUAAACCAUCUUCCUCACCAACAACAGUUAUUUACGGCAAACUACGAGCAAGGAAAUUACAACAUCAUCUUCAAAAACAAAACCACAUUGAGCAAAGAAAAGAGAACUUAUAUUAUUCAUCAAUCAUUGAAUAAAAAAGACAAUUCAUCACUCUUAGUCUUAAUGGGUUGGAAUUGGCCUGAAGGAGGAGGGGGAGGGGUAUAUCGUUAAAGAACGAAUAAAAUUCUCAUCCCCGUCAUUUUUGACGGGUUAUCAACUAGUAUUAUAAUAAUCCUCAAAAAACGUCAAUCAAAUUCAACCAUCUUUUAAAAAAAUAUUUGUCCAAUGAUAAUCAUCAUAACAACUUUAAGCCAAUAGUAAUUCCCAUGUGAUUACUAAUAUGGCGAAUAUACUUAACACAAUAUCCAUAUCAAAUUUACAGUUAAAAGGCCACAAGUCUUGUAACCAAAAUACUAUACAUAGUGAGUUCCUGAAGGCUGAUUCAACGUUGUGUGCAGAGAUCCUCUUCCCAAUUAUGACCAGAGAGUGGCAAGAAUAGAUUGACUUACGGCUAUUCUACUUCCCAAAAACAAAGAACCCCAAAUAUGAAAACUGGAGAGGAAUCUCAUUAAAUUCGGUCAGUAGAGUCACUAAGAAGGGAGGCGCAUCGGCUCGAGCCCCCUGAAAAAUUUGAAUAGCCCCCUGAAGCAAAAUUUUUUUUUUUAAAUGGAAUCUUAACCCCUUGAACAAAAAAUAAAUUUUUAUUGCCCCCUGAACGAUUUCUUUUAUAAUUCUAUUGAGUUAUAUAUAGAUUUAAUUUUAUUAUUUAAAAAUU